rnacentral:rRNA from 1 species
AGGCAGCAGUGGGGAAUUUUCCGCAAUGGGCGAAAGCCUGACGGAGCAACGCCGCGUGUGGGAGGAAGGUUUUAGGACUGUAAACCACUUUUCUCAGGGAAGAAGAUCUGACGGUACCUGAGGAAUCAGCAUCGGCUAAUUCCGUGCCAGCAGCCGCGGUAAUACGGGAGAUGCAAGCGUUAUCCGGAAUUAUUGGGCGUAAAGCGUCCGCAGGCGGUCUUAUAAGUCUGUCGUUAAAGCACACAGCUUAACUGUGGGAGAGCGAUGGAAACUGUGAGACUAGAGUGCGGUAGGGGUAGGGGGAAUUCCCGGUGUAGCGGUGAAAUGCGUAGAUAUCGGGAAGAACACCAGCAGCGAAAGCGCCCUACUGGGCCGCAACUGACGCUCAUGGACGAAAGCUAGGGGAGCGAAAGGGAUUAGAUACCCCUGUAGUCCUAGCCGUAAACGAUGGACACUANGUGUUGUCUGUAUCGACCCGGACAGUGCCGUAGCU